rnacentral:rRNA from 1 species
AUUGAACGCUGGCGGCAUGCCUUACACAUGCAAGUCGAACGGCAGCGCGGGAGCAAUCCUGGUGGCGAGGGGCGAACGGGUGAGGAAUGUAUCGGAACGUGCACAGGCGUGGGGGAUAAGGUAGCGAAAGCUACGCUGAUACCGCAUACGAACUGUGGAUGAACGCGGGGGACCGUAAGGCCUCGCGCGAUUGGCGCGGCCGAUAUCGGAUUAGGUAGUUGGUGGGGUAAAGGCCUACCCACCCGACGAUCUGUAUCUGGCCUGGGAGGACGACCAGCCGACCUGGGACUGAGACACGGCCCAGGCUCCUACGGGAGGCAGCAGUGGGGAAUUUUGGACAAUGGGCGCAAGCCUGAUCCAGCAAUGCCGCGUGUAGGAUGAAGGCCUUCGGGUUGUAAAGUGCUUUCGUCCGGGGCGAAAGGGCUAUAGCUAAUACCGGGGGUUCAUGACGGUACCGUAAGAAUAAGCACCGGCUAACUCCGUGCCAGCAGCCGCCGUAAAAC